AACGAACGCUGGCGGCAGGCUUAACACAUGCAAGUCGAACGCCCGGGAGCGAUCCCGGGAGUGGCAGACGGGUGAGUAACACGUGGGAACAUACCCUUCGGUACGGAACAACUCGGGGAAACCCGAGCUAAUACCGUAUACGCCUUGGCGGGGAAAGAUUGAUCGCCGAAGGAUUGGCCCGCGUCCGAUUAGCUAGUUGGUGGGGUAACGGCUCACCAAGGCGACGAUCGGUAGCUGGUCUGAGAGGAUGGCCAGCCACAUUGGGACUGAGACACGG
rnacentral:rRNA from 1 species